GUGCUUGCUUUGGCAGCACAUAUACUAAAGUUGGAAUGAUGCAGAGAAGAUUAGCAUGGCCCCUGUGCAAGGAUAACUCACAAAUUCAGGAGGCCUUCCAUAUUUUU
ensembl:snRNA U6 U6 spliceosomal RNA